AGGUACUCCCCCUCACCUACAAGAUGGCUAGAAUCACUGCUCCGGAGUUGGAGCAGUUCCUAGUCGCUAACAGUUCAGUUGACUGGACGUGUACUAGGAACAGGUGCUUAUGGCAGUGUGGAGGAAGUGGAGAUCCCGGGAGCAACAGUAGCUGCCAAGAAAUUGCACCAACAGCUUGUCAACCUGGGCUCUCCACAGCAGGUUGAGAAAUGGGUGACUGACUUCGUGGAGGAGUGUAAGCUGAUGAGCCAGCUCCGUCACCCUCACAUACACUGUAAAAAAUGUAGUGUGCUGAGCACACUUAUGGUUGCCAUUGAAGUGUGGCCAACACACUUGCUACACUUGAGUGAUUUUUAUAGUGUGCUGGGCACACCAUAUAAAAGUGUGAACAAAAUAAAGUGUGUGUAGCACACUAUUCGCGUAGCAGAGAAAGUGUGCAUGGCACACUCGCACAUGAAUGAAAAUUAACAUCGAUUUAUGGAAGUUUUGAUCACGAUCUUUUCCCUAAUUUGGCAAUGAUCUUGAUAUCUCUUUCUCAAUGCCUGUGAUAUUUGUAUACAUGUAUAAUUAUUCAUGCUAAUCCAUAACAUCAACAAGAUAGUUACAAUCAUAAUUAUAGUUUUCUACUUAUACAGAAUCAACACAGAUCAGAGAAUGUAAAACAUGACUGUGCAUAAGAGAUUGAAAGAAAAAGAAAUGAACUGUUUUGAAGCCCAACACGUCUUAGUUCCUUUCAGCCAUCCACUGCAGGGGAUAAAAAACAACAACAUCUCAAUACUAACCCAUGAUGAACUGAUAAUCAGUUACUUUGAUAAAAGUGGAGUAUAAUAAUUGCUUUUCGAGUGUAAAAGCACUGAUAUACAAUUAAUGCCCUUGAGCACAUGCUGCUUUGGUUACAAAGCAUUAGUAUAAUUCUGUAAAUAAGGAGGCAGUUCAUUAUUACCUGAGGCGCUGCUCUUUACUGAUAAGCGUAAAACUAAUAAAUAGGUAGCGCUUUAGCUAGCUAGUGCAAAGCUACCUAAAUUGUAACCUGAAUUGAAACUUCAUUUGUACAAGCAGAUGAUUAUUAGCACCAUGGUGUGCCUCGGUAGAGGUGCCAAAGCUACAUAAUAUUAGUAGAUGGUCCUUGUGCAGCUGUAUAUAUAUAGCAGUCUACUGUGUCGAUCUGUACAUGUUAUAAAUAUGCUCUUAUUGAUACACAACUGAUCAUGAUAGUACCCCAAGAUUGUGUAAAUACCCUAACAAAGACCAGCAAGUAAAAGUGGGCUUACUUGAUCUGCAAAAGGAUAGCUAACAAAUUCAAAGUCUGUACGUGUUAUGGACAAAAAUAUGCUAAUAUUGAUACACAACUGAUAGUACCCCAAGAUUGUGUAAAUACCCUAACAACGACCAGUAAAAAGAAUGAAACGGCAAAAGUAAAAUUAGGCUCACUUGAAGGAUGGUUAGGAAGGCCUAUCUGUAAAAGGAUAGCUAACAAAUUCAAUGAGGGAGCUAGAAAGGAUUACAGGGAAGUUAAACGCAAGGGAGGAAGUUGCACUGGAAUGGCAAGCUAUUGCACCUCGAAUAAUUGAUCAGGCCAAGCGGGAAACUUCCAGAAAAACAGUAGAGCUGUCUCUAACACAUUCAAACACUGAAGAAGCAGAGAUUACAGCUAUGGCAGUUCUACCAGCACUACCUGACCCUAGAACGAAGUGUGACCCGAGCAAAAUACUCCACAUAACACAGAAUGUGGAUGUAGAGGAAGCAAUUGCGGCAAAGAGUCAGCUUGAGCCGUACCUGCUGUUGGUCUAGGAGGACCAUAUCAUCUUUUUGGUCAUCGACAACAAAAUACUGGACCAAAUCCAACCCCGUGACUUACCGUUCUGCCUAAUGGCAGCAUAUUAUGUAUUUAAUAUUCAAUAUCCUAAAGCUUGUCAUAUGUUUUAUUCCUUCCUUGAA